rnacentral:rRNA from 1 species
UACGGAGGGUGCAAGCGUUAUCCGGAUUCACUGGGUUUAAAGGGUGCGUAGGUGGGUUGGUAAGUCAGUGGUGAAAUCUCCGUGCUUAACAUGGAAGCUGCCAUUGAUACUACUGAUCUUGAAUUUUCAGGAGGUAAGCGGAAUAUGUCAUGUAGCGGUGAAAUGCUUAGAUAUGACAUAGAACACCAAUUGCGAAGGCAGCUUACUACAGGAAUAUUGACACUGAUGCACGAAAAGCGUGGGGAUCAAACAGGA